rnacentral:rRNA from 1 species
CUCAGUUCGGAUCGCAGGCUGCAACCCGCCUGCGUGAAGUCGGAAUCGCUAGUAAUCGCGGAUCAGCAUGCCGCGGUGAAUACGUUCCCGGGCCUUGUACACACCGCCCGUCACACCAUGAGAGUCGGGAACACCCGAAGCCCGUAGCCUAACUUGCAAGAGAGAGCGCGGUCGAAGGUGGGUUCGAUAAUUGGGGUGAAGUCGUAACAAGGUAAC